UACGUAGGGGGCAAGCGUUGUCCGGAUUUAUUGGGCGUAAAGAGCGUGUAGGCGGCCAGACAGGUCAGCUGUGAAAACUCGAGGCUCAACCUCGAGACGUCGGUUGAAACCGUCUGGCUAGAGUCCGGAAGAGGAGAGUGGAAUUCCCGGUGUAGCGGUGAAAUGCGCAGAUAUCGGGAAGAACACCCGUGGCGAAGGCGGCUCUCUGGGACGGUACUGACGCUGAGA
rnacentral:rRNA from 1 species